CCCCCCCCCUCCUGCGCCGCCCCCAGCCCCCCCCUGCGGCUCAGCCCAGGCCCCCCCCCGCAGCCCCGUCCGUGCCCCCCGGGCCGUGGCCGCCGUCUCCUUCGGUGCCUUCGUGGUGGGGGCGGCGCUGGCGGGGGGGCUCUGGCUCGUCCACGGCCGCACAGCUGCCCGACGCCCCCCCCACCCCCCCCCGGCUCCAGCACGGCCCCCCAGCGUGGGGGGGGGCAGCUCAGGACCACCGACCUGAAGCUGCCUCCAGUUGGGGCCCCCCCAGGAGCCCCCUGAGCCUGGGACCCCCUCCCCAAAAUGUUUCCCUCCCCCUCCCCCCGCAGCCUCCCCAAAUAAAGGCGCUUGGGGAUCCAAGAACA